CCUGUGAUUCUUAACUUUAUUUAUUCUAUAACGUCUUUUAACUUGUUUAGUAUUCCGUCAUUGUGUGUGCAACUGUGCAUUGAAAGGAUAACACUUCAUGCAUGUUACCUUUUGAGGUAACACAGUUUCCUUUGUCAUCAGCUGUAGAAGCCACUGUACCAGAGAAUUUGGCAUCAUUCUCUAGUUCAUACGAAGGUGGUGAAAUUAAAAGCUCAAUGGGCACUGAUACUGAAGAAAAGUCAACAAUCAUCAACAUUCUUUUGACUUGGACAUCUACAUCCAAUUCUAUAUUGUUUAUUACCUCAUAGUCUCAUGUUUUAGAUUAAUAUAAAGAAAUCUCAAACUGUCAUUUGUGCGGAUGACUAGAGUGUCUCAUUUUGAACUAUGGGACCUUCAUCUUCAAAUGCCUUCAUCUGUUUCCUGUCUGUGGUGCAAUGUAGGCUAUGCUGUGGUCUUCGUCACCUCACUCCUUUAGCCAACCAACAUGCAUGGAUUCUAAUGCCAUCAUCUGGUCAUGAAUAGCAAAAUGUUCAUCUUUGUUUCUUUUGCAAAUUUUCCAUCUGAAAUCAAUCGUGCAGUCUGGGCUCGCUUAUGGAAUUAUUAAGCUAGGUAGCGUCCAUCUAAACUGAUAGAGGGCACCGGCGGCAUCCCGGAUUAAGGACCCGAAAAAAAUCCAUGUUCGCUGGCUUACAUUAUCGUAGAACGCCGUGAUUGUUGUGUCUGGAUUGUACCAAACUUACCACAUCACCAAACCCAAGAGUGUACAUGAUGAAGAACUGGCAAGUCUUUUUGGGACCAGUUGUUGAAUCUGUGAAAGGUCUUCAUUCAGAAAAUUUACGUGGAUGGAGAUGUGGCAUUUUUAAGAAAGUAGUUUCUCGUCACCACUGUUUGCUGUUUCGUCCCGAAGAUAAAAGUUUAAAAUUUUUAUAAAUUAAAGUGUAUAUCUGGGCUCCCUUCUUUUCUGUGGCCCCGUUUCCCCUUGACUUAUGAUAAGCCCGUAGGGGGUCAUGCCCCUACUGUGAUCAGCAGC